GUGAGAAGCUGAAGAACUGAAAUGUCCUUGGCUCUGUACAGCACUGCUCAGCAACUGCUAUAGCACUGGUGUGUAAUCAACAAUGUUUUUCUCCUAUAGCCAAGAUGCAGCAUCAUACCAGACACUAUGAACAGAAUGAGCUUUGUGUCAGCUGAAACCAGGACAUCUCAGUAAAGCAUAUCCUUUGUACACUUGUGACCUGGCAGACAAAAGCAUCCUUGGUUGUGUUUGUCAUAUGGACUGAAGGCCCACACGUUCCAUUGUGAAAGUACCACUAAUGAUGUGCUAGUUCUCAAGGAUGUCUCAGAGUGCCGCAGCUGACACCCGAUCACACUGCUCACUCUGGUGCUAGCACACUUUGCCUGACGAGUGUAAAAUCUCAUGAAACAGAUCUGAAGAGUGUGAAGAUGCAGUUUAAAGAUGGCACAACCAGGGGCAAAUAUAUCAUCAUGAGCUGACCAUCCCAUUUGGUAAACUCAUCCCUCUGCUCUUGGUAUCUUCCAUCUGAUCGCAGUGUUCAGCUAGAGUGUGAGGAUCAGUGAGCUGCCAACACCCACCUCAUCAUCGCAAACACGUGCAGUCCCAAAAAGAAACUGAGCAAAUAUUUCCUAAGGCAAGUGUGAAAUCUCAGCCCUUGCUCAGUCCUUUCAUAUGAUUUAUU
rnacentral:lncRNA from 1 species